GAGGUGCGAAAGCGUGGGAGCAAACGGAUUAGAUACCCCGGUAGUCCACGCCGUAAACGAUGUCUACUAGCCGUUGGAGGACUUGAUCCUUUAGUGGCGCAGCUAACGCGAUAAGUAGACCGCCUGGGGAGUACGGUCGCAAGAUUAAAACUCGAAUGAAUUGACGGGGGCCCGCACAAGCGGUGGAGCAUGUGGUUUAAUUCGAAGCAACGCGAAGAACCUUACCUACUCUUGACAUCCAGUGAACUUUUGAGAGAUCAAUUGGUGCCUUCGGGAACACUGAGACAGGUGCUGCAUGGCUGUCGUCAGCUCGUGUUGUGAAAUGUUGGGUUAAGUCCCGUAACGAGCGCAACCCUUGUCCUUAGUUACCAUCAUUAAGUUGGGGACUCUAAGGAGACUGCCGGUGACAAACCGGAGGAAGGCGGGGACGACGUCAAGUCAUCAUGGCCCUUACGAGUAGGGCUACACACGUGCUACAAUGGCAUGUACAAAGGGUUGCCAAGCCGCGAGGUGGAGCUAAUCCCAUAAAGCAUGUCGUAGUCCGGAUUGGAGUCUGCAACUCGACUCCAUGAAGUCGGAAUCGCUAGUAAUCGUGAAUCAGAAUGUCACGGUGAAUACGUUCCCGGGCCUUGUACACACCGCCCGUCACACCAUGGGAGUGGGUUGCUCCAGAAGUAGAUAGCUUAACCUUCGGGAGGGCGUUUACCACGGAGUGAUUCAUGACUGGGGUGAAGUCGUAACAAGGUAACCGUA
rnacentral:rRNA from 1 species